rnacentral:rRNA from 1 species
AUUGAACGCUGGCGGCAUGCCUUACACAUGCAAGUCGAACGGUAACGGGCCUCCGGGUGCCGACGAGUGGCGAACGGGUGAGUAAUACAUCGGAACGUGCCCGAUCGUGGGGGAUAACGAGGCGAAAGCUUUGCUAUACCGCAUACGAUCUACGGAUGAAAGCAGGGGACCGCAAGGCCUUGCGCGGACGGAGCGGCCGAUGGCAGAUUAGGUAGUUGGUGGGAUAAAAGCUUACCAAGCCGACGAUCUGUAGCUGGUCUGAGAGGAUGAUCAGCCACACUGGGACUGAGACACGGCCCAGACUCCUACGGGAGGCAGCAGUGGGGAAUUUUGGACAAUGGGCGCAAGCCUGAUCCAGCCAUGCCGCGUGCAGGAUGAAGGCCUUCGGGUUGUAAACUGCUUUUGUACGGAACGAAAAGCCUUCUUUUAAUACAGGAGGGUCAUGACGGUACCGUAAGAAUAAGCACCGGCUAACUACGUG